ACCAGGAUGGCUGCUUGGUUAAGGCGUUGAGCUUAAGUUGUAAUGUAUGUAUAUUCCCGUGGGUUCGACCCCACUCCUGGUA
rfam:Xenopus laevis strain J chromosome 2S, whole genome shotgun sequence.